GUACUAAGGGUUAGAUUGCAUUUUACCCCUUUUACUGAAAAACAUGGGCCGGUUUGCUCUUUGAUUUUGUAUAGGGACUAAUUUGCUCUUUUUUUAAGUAAAGGGGCAAAAUGCAAUCAAACUUAGUACA
rnacentral:pre_miRNA from 1 species